CGGCCUGGUGGUUAUAGCGAGGAGCCCACACCCGAUCCCAUCCCGAACUCGGCCGUUAAAUUCCUCAGCGCCGAUGGUACUAUGUCUUAAGGCAUGGAAGAGUAGGUCGCUGCCAGGCCU
rnacentral:rRNA from 1 species